rnacentral:tRNA from 2 species
UGGCCCGUCGUCUAAUGGCAGGACAGCGGUUUUUGGUGCCGCCGGUCAUGGUUCGAAUCCAUGCGGGCCAA